AAAGAGUCAUCCAAAAAAAGCUUCUAACUUUAAACUAAAGCAUUAACAUGUUUAU
rnacentral:tRNA from 1 species